rnacentral:rRNA from 1 species
AUGACAUGCUGCCGGGAUGUCGAUCAACAUGGAGCUGGGAGAUCAGAUCACAUGUCAGCAUCCACUCCGCGCUUAGUCAUCAUGCCCUGCCCUACAACCCGAGCAUAUGUGCUUGCUGCAUGUAUACGUACCCCACUCGCUGGGAGAAAGCAUAGCAACAUGCGCUCCAUUGCUUGUGCUGAAAGGAAGAACAAUCAAGGAUUCAAGGAUGAGCCUGCAGCUACAGGGAAGUGGACUCGACGGGCACUAGAUGAGUUCCUGAUUGGAGGGUCGAGUUCUUCUAUUUUGUGGCGUCCCCGCUUGCUUGGAGGCGGAGACUUGGAUGGAGGGGGUCAACGCGGCGUCAUUCCCUCGCCGCUGUCUGACUGCGAUCGGUAUUGUAUUGAGGUCCCGGUGUCAGCCGGCCGGACUCAAGUUUCUACUCUCCCGGUCGCGUGGCAGAAUAGACGUGCUUGCCACUGCGUCGUGUCAGUACCAGCCAUGCACUUCUUGAUCAUAGCUGGCUUCGGCCUAUCAUGUAUGCCGUGGGAGGAGGAGAAUCCAACUGCCUUUUCUCAACCAAGAAGAAACCAGGGGCACGAGGCACACGCAUGCAGGCAGCGGUGCCUCUCCGACAACCAACGUUUUGGUUCCACCGACUCAUUCGACGUCGCUUCUGUUCUGUGGGGACGAACCAAUUCUGUUCCUGUGGGAGCCAGCCGGGUUGAUCACCAGCCCAGCGAAUCACACUCUUUCGCGGCCAUGCAUGCGCAUCAUGCAACCCGGCCUCUGAUCAGAUCCCCAACGCUGCACCGCGCCCACCGUACCUUAGCCGAAGUUUGCUCCGCUGGAUGUGUCUCCGUCGACCAACGAGGCAUACCGCUUAUUUUAUCAACAAGAUUUGGGAGUGAUAAUAACACGGCUAAUAUAAUGAGAUCAGGCACCAAAACAGAUAAAAUACUCUACUAUUCCAGCUCGCAAUCCCUAGUAUUAUCGACGCUCCUAACGCCAACCUUCCUUCUAGAAGCCCGUUGCCCUCUCAGCAGCUCGGAAAGCAGGGGCUUGCUUGUGGAUAACAUUUCCAGUGGCACAACGUAUGGAUAUGAGGUCUCCCAGCAGAGGUGGAACAAAUCCGAAUAUUCACUGCUGUCACAUAGUAGGGCCCAAUCAAUAUGCGUGUCCCGUAGCUGCGCUAGCCUUCUAUUUAUGCUCUCUCCCGAGGGAGCCGGCGGGCACGCGCUGUGGGUGUUCGACGUCAAGUCCAAUAUGAUGAACCCAAAGAGCCGUGUCCAAGAGUGGGAGGCCGACCACAUCAACCUCAUCCCGGGGAUGCCCGACGACUGCCUGGCGCGCGUCCUGCACGGAUCCUACCGCUCGAUGCGCCGCGUAGGUCGACGGCUGGGUCGCUGGGACCCGCUCCCCGACAUGUCGGAGGAGCGCGACGAGUGCGAUGGCAUGGCCACCGUCGCCGGCGACCGGUUCCUGGCCGUGAGCGGGUACGGGCCGCCAGGGCGGCUCCCUCCAAUUCUUGCUGUCGCCGACGCCGGUGUGGAGGUCUGGUUCAGGUUUAUGUCAAGGUUUUGGAAGGUUGUUGCACUCAAAGAAGAAGACGAGUGCCUGAGUGGAGGUCUUUGGCAGGCGAUGCUUGGCGGCCACUUUGGUGAAGCCAAUGGCGGCGGAUGA